AUAUUAAAAUGUACUAUAUAUCUAAGUUAAUAUCAUUAAAACUUAGUUUUAUAUCAUAUAAAAUAGAAAAACUGUUUGUUUGAAUUAAUAAAAUUUAUUUAUGUGUUUGCACCAAUUUAAUCAUAUACGUAAUAUUUUCUGAGUUUUUAAUUAUCAAUUUAUAUGUAUUAUUUAAUAAUAUAUAAAAGAACAUAUAAUACAUAAAACUAAUUUAUAUAAUAUUUAUUCCGGGCAAGUGCGUGUCUUAACCUAGUAUAUCAGUAUACCACCAACCAGUGAAUAUUUUAGAAACUAAUUCAUAACAUGACGUAUUAUAUAAUGGAAAACCAUGGUUUUGAACAGUGGCAGAUCUAAGAAAAAUUUUUACUCGGGGCAAAACUAUAAAACACUAGUAACAUAUUUACAUAUUCAAAUUUUCAUCAGGACCACUAUUAAAAUGAUAUCUCUUUUUAUUAUUUGAGGAGCAUUAUAUAAAACUAACAUUUAAUUCAUGUGUUUAUUACAUGUGUGUCAUUUCCUACGUAUCAGCACCACAAGCUCUCUCACUUCAUAUAUUCAAAAACUCUUUCUUAACUAAACUAAUUACAAAAAGUACCAUUGCUCAUUACAUUAAAAAUUGGGUAUAUAUUAUAAGCUUAUUGACUAACUAAAAAAUUAAACCCGCGCCCCGCUUGCUACGCUUCAAUUAGAAACGACAAAUUUAAAUAUGCAGAGAUUUUAUUGCCAUAACCUGAGAUUUUUUAUAAUGAUCGAUUUUGUUAUAUAGCCUGACUUAAAUAUUAAUGCCUUUCUACAUAGUUAGACUACAUAAAAUCCGUUGUGUACGUAUGUAUCUACAUAUCUACUUUUAUAUAUGUUGCUGCAAAUCUUCUCCGUAUUAGACAAAGAUACCGAUCACAAUCGCAAUGUUCAAGAAUUAUUACAGAAUGGCAAAAUCUUAUAGAUAUAUACGUACACUUUUUUUAAAAAAUGACAUAAAACUUGGAAAUAUAUUAUAUUGUUAAAAGCUAAUAAUAGUUUCAAAUCUCCUCCAUUGCAUGUUAAUCAUGUUUAUUGUUUCCAUAAUUAUCAAUGCAAUUGUAAUCGACGAUCAUUUUAUGAUAGUUUAGAUUCAAGGCAACACAAUUUAAUACAUUACCAUUUCGAUUUUUCCCAUAAUAUAUGAUUCAAAUUUGAAUUGUCAAUCACAGGAUCAAAUGAAUUAUUGUCAAUGGCAAUGUUAGCGUGCUAAUGGAAACAAAAUUGGCUUGAAAAGAGGAGUUUUCUAUAUAAGGGAUUUAACGGAUAUUGCAUCGUUGUUAUUUGAAUACGGUUUCACCACGUCAAAGUUAUUACGAAUACAUGAUUAUCCAUCAUUGAUUUAUACAUACUUUUUGCAACAGAUGAUAUUUUUACAUUAAAUUUGCGUGACCAGAUCUUCAUAUUGUUACCUAUUUUACGUACAAACAUAUCGCACUGAUUAUCCAUCGUUGGUUUUUUUUUUUUUGAAAAGAUCAAAAUUGGUAUGGUAGUUAUUAAUUUUUUUAAUCCCUUGAUAUUUUUGGAUAACCGCUCUAACAAAAAAGGAAAUUAUUGAAAUCAUAAAACAUGAUGUGCAAUCUUUUUGGUUUGAUUGAAAAGUCAAAUUACACUAUUAAUGUAACAAAUCAUUUAUAAUUCAAUCAUAUUCAGUAUUCAAACCUAAGUUUCCUUAUCUUAUUCAUUUAAUUUAGAAGAUUUAUUCUCCACAUAAAAGUUGGACUAGACAUCAAAACUACUAUAAUCUUUUUCAAGUUUAUUUUCUUUAAAUUUUGGACUAUGAUAAAGUUUAUUCAAACCUAAGUUUCCUUUUUUGAUGAUAGUCUGAAGAGUGUUUGGAACUAAUUGUCAUAAAUUUCCUGGUCUAAGGAUUUUAAAGAUAAAUCCAAAUUUUCUUCUGUUAGUAAAUGUACAUUUUAUGGCAGGGAGAUCCGUAGGACUAGGCAUAAUCGGUUUGGUUUUCGAUUUUUCGGUUGUAGAUAUAUAAAACUGUUCGGUUAUUUAUGAAAUUUGAUUCUUAUUUCAGUUUUUGGUUUGAUUGGGUAAUAAUAUUGCGAAUUGGCUAAUAUUCGAUAAAAUUUGUUCCAACUCAGAUCUGGUUUUUGAAUUAUUCAAAUAAAAGAUUCAGAAUUUUUUUUAGUUUUAAGAUUAAAUUAAAUAUCAAAUAGUUAGGGUGUACACUUUACGAUUGCACGUAUUCAACCUGAUAGCAUAAAGAAAAUUUAAUAAAUGUGUUUUAUUGGGCCUAGUUUAAAAGUCUGUUAAGUCUACAUUGAAAUCCGUUUAAUCAGCAGGAUCAACAAAACCUUGAGGAAGGUGCACUAUAAACAUACCACGUGGAGGAAUAAGCACCGUCCGUUUAAAAAUGUAUCCGUUGAUGUUUAAAGAUGCAACGAUACAUAUAUAAAAGCGUAUGUAUCAGGAGGAGAUGAUUACUCUGUUCUUUCACUUCUCUUAGGGUUUUCUCCCAAAAGUUUCUUUCUGGAGAUAACUCCUUUUCAAAGAAGCAGAGAAGUUCACGAUUCUUGAAAGAGGUUUCAAAUUUCCUUAAUUGUUCAUUCAUUUAUUGUUGUAGUGAUCCUGGAAAGCGCUUGAAUCCGUAUGGAAUCAUCGUUGAGAUUGAAGAUAAGUGUGAGUCUCUGAGUUGAACGGCUAAAGAAGUAGCAACCUAAGACAUGUUUUGUAUGGGCUUCAGAAAACUCAGAGAUGAUUUCAAGUGUAUCAGAUUUCUUUAACCAGGUGCGUUCUUCACAAACUGUUCAUAUCUUCAUUGACGCCAAGGAUUUACCCAGAUCAGUAUUAACGAUAUUGAAAGCCAAACAAGUGAGAAGGCAAUGCUUCGGAAUGUGAGUAUACGACCAUAUGCAAUUUAAAUAGAGGGAAAAACUGGUUCAUUAUGUUCAAAUAGUAGAUAAUACGAGCAAGAAUGAUCGUGGUCCAUAUGUUUUAAAUAAUUUAUGGAAAAACUUAUCACAUAAUGGAUUGUUAUUUCUUUCUCUCUUUUUAAAUAAAACAUUCUAAUUUGAUAUA